AUGAGGGGUCCCUGGCUUGGAAGUGGGGGCCUCUGGCUUAGAGGUGGGAGGCCCUGUCUUAGAGAUGACCCGCUGGGUUGGAGGUGGGGGCCCCCAGCUUGGAGAUGGGACCCUGGCUUGGGGGGCCCUGGCUUGGAGGUGGGGGUCCCCAGCUUGGAGAUGAGGGGUCCCUGGCUUGGAAGUGGGGGGGGGGCACCCGUGGGCCCUCGGUGGGAGUCAGCGUCGAGCUCUGCAUGGGUUGGGGGUGUGGUCACCGUGCCUCCCGGAUCGCGGGCAUCCAGACUGCUCCGAGCAUCACCCAGCAUGGGGCCCCCGGGCUGGCUGGAGCUGCAUGCAGGUUGGGGUCCCGGGCGCUCGUCUUGCAGGGCUGUGGGCCUCUGGGGCGCCUUCCUGGAGGAUGGAGUCCUGGCAGAGGGCCGGCCGGUUGGCUGGGGCUGGCCUCGUUCAACGUCUAUGACUCCCCGGGAAUACGGUUUAGGACAAGGGUUGCUGCAUUUGGGGAAACAGACGUUGUUUAUCCUGGGGUCAGCGGAAGAGCCGCCAGGUGACUGGAGGGUGAUGCCAGGCCCAGGCCGAGCCGGCUGUCUGAGUGUAGCCGGGGCGGCAAGGAGCACGGCUGGGGCCUGGGACGCGGCACACAGAGGCAGGGGCACAAUGACCGUCCACACCCUCCUGAGUCCCUUUGUCUGUGUUUGCAGACACAGUCCCUUCUCAGCCUGUGCUUCUUCCUGGAAUGGUUGGUUGCCCUCCUUCCUGUGGGCCCUGGGCCUGAGUGCCACGCUCCCUCGCUCACUUCCCUUCUCCUGCCGUCCAUCUGUCCGUCUUCUCCUUCCUGGGGGACUCUGGGCCUGAGCGCCAUGCUCCCUCGCUCGCUUCCCUUCUCGUGCCGUCUGUCUGUCUGUCUGGUUGGUGCUCACAGGCAGGAAGGGAAGUUGCGCCUGUUAACGGUGAGCAGCGAGAAAGUGGAGGAGAGCGGUUGGGUGCUGAUUUGACUUUCUCACUCUCAGGCCCGCUGUGAUUGUCGCAGGGCUGGAGUUAUCAUCUCGUCACUGCAGGGAACACAGCAUCGAGUUGCAGGGACUGUGGGCGGGAGAGGCUGGACAUGGUGGGGGCCUGUGCGGCAGAAGAGCAGGUGGAAGCCGAUGAGCAGCGGGACUCUAGCGGUCGCGGGUCAGGAAACUAAUCUGAUGCAGCUGACGGGACCAGACGGGGCCGAGGAGGAGCGAGAGCCGCGCGGACAGGGAGUCCCGUCCACUCUGCGCUCCACAGCAGGAGGUGCUUUGCUUUUCACUUGACGGGGCCCGGGGGCUGUGGUCACCUGCUUGGCUCAACCCCGCACGCACUUGAAAGCUUCACUGCAGGCCCAUGAGUUGAUGGGGUGCAAUCUGCAGCGGCGGUCACCUGCCUGUGGGGCGUGCUCCCCCACGCCCGUGUUGAGGACUCUGACCUGCCCCGUCCCAGGCCCGUGGGCCCCUUCACUCUGAUCAUCAUGGAAAGGCAGGGGGGCUUUAUUGCUGUGACAGGACUGUUGUCCAGGCUCCCCAGGUGGCUCAGUGAUUAAGAGUCGCCUGCAGUGCUGGAGACUUGAGUUCGAUCCCUGGGUCAGGAAGAUCCUCUGGAGGAGGAAGUGGCAACCCACUCCAGUAUUCUUGCCUGGAGAAUCCCAUGGAUUGAGGAGCCUGGCGGGCUACAGUCCACGGGGUAGCAAAGAGUCAGACACGACUGCCAACUAAACACAACGGUCGGCUUGGGCUGCUGGGGGCAGAGCCGCUCUGGCUGGGAGGCUGCCGCGUUCACUUCUCGCAGUCCUGGUGGCCGAGAGGUCCACGGUCCAGGCCCUGGAGGCAGAUUCUGUACCUGAAGGUUUGCAGACGGCGCCUUCCUGGCAUCGCCCGCAGCAGGAGGAGCGGGGAGCCCCUGGGCCCUUUCCGAGGGCCCUGCCCCUGCGAGGUCUGUGGCAGCUGUUCCGCUCGAUGGGAUGUCGCCCCGCUUGGUGACCGCGUGGUGCCGCCCAGCCCUCCGCAGGGAGGGAGGCCUCUCUUCCCACAGGUGUCCUCGUGGGUUCCGUACCGACCCCAAGCAGUCAGUAGAGCACCCCUGUUUGCACACGAGAGUCUGAGACUCAGAGGAGGAGGAGGGUCUGCCUGACCCCACCCCCUCCCGCACGCCGCUGUCACUGUGCGGCCGAGAUGGGCGCGCCUAGAGGCGUGCUGCGGGCAAUCACGUGACCCAACUGGGGCGACCAGGAGAUUCCUGAUGUGCAGAGGUGCAGUCACGCAGGUCGGCCUCAGCGCGGGGCAGGCGCAGGAGGUGUCGGGACGUGGGGGCGCUGGGCUUGGUGUCAGGAAGAGAAGCAGGGGUUGGCGGGGGGGGAUGAAGCGCUGCCGGCCGAGCCGCUGGUUCUGCUUGUGAGCCGGCUCCUGAGACGCUAACACGGACUGAAGGCUUUCAGGUGAGGCUCAGCCGGUGCUCAAAUUGGUCCGAAAGGGAAGCAGUUCAGGUUGGCGUAAAGGGCUUGAAAAACGAGAUGUCCUUUUUCUUAGCAUAAGAGAGUCUGAAAAGAUGAGUUCAGAAUGUCUUUUUAAAGCUGCGUUUUAGCGGGUGUGUUGUUUGAGGUUCUAGAAGUAGGGAUGACCACACAGGAAAGUCAGCAGCUGUUGGCUGCCAGUCACCUUGCCCCUGGGUCCCGCGUCUCGGGACAGAGGCGUAUGGGCCUCAGGGUUAGAUCAGCUCACGGCCGUGCUUUCCCAUUGACGGGCAGAAUGAUCUGGGCUGUUUUUCCCCCCAAACUUCUUGAAGAGCUGGUCUCUCCACCUGUUGUUGCUGCUAAGUCUCUAAGUCGUGUCCGACUCUUUGUGACCCUGUGGACUGCAGCUCACCAGGCUUCUCUGUGUCCUGGAGUUUUCUCAGAUUCAUGUCCAUUGAGUCAGUGAUGCCAUUCAGACAUCUCAUCCUCUGUCAUCCCCUUCUCCUGCCUUCGCUCUUUCCCAGCAUCAGGGUCUUUCCCAGUGAGUCAGCUCUUUGCAUCAGGUGGCAAAGUGUUGGAGCUUCAGCUCCAGCAUCAGUCCUUCCAAUGAAUACCCAGGGCUGAUCUCCUUUAGGAUGGACUGGUUGGAUCUCCUUGCAGUCCAAGGGGCUCUCAGGAGUCUUCUCCAACACCACAGUUCAAAAGCAUCAAUUCUUCUGCACUCAGCCUUCUCUGUGGUCCAACUCUCACAUCUGUACAUGACUACAGGAAAAAUCGUAGCUUUGACUAGACGGACCUUUGUCGGCAAAGUGAUGUGGGUCUAAGUGGUGCUCGCCGGCAUCUGGCUUUGAGAGGUGGUCCUGUGAGAGGGGUCUGAGCAGGGCGGCAGGCUUGGGUGGCUCUGGUGCUGAUUCCCAUCACGGCCUGCCCCCACACGCCUCUCUGCACUCCGGCAGCGAGGAUGCAGACACUCGCGUUACCCAUUCAGCUGUUAUCACGUCGUACGCCUUUCUCAUGUUGCUACAUCUUCAUAACCAUCAUUUUUAAUGGCUGUAUAAUGUUUUGAAAAUGAUCUUUAUUUAAAAUUGUUAUUAAAACUGUAUAUCUGUCUAAAUCAACAUCUAAUUUAUAUGCUUAAUCAAAACUAUAGUAUUCAAAAUAUGCACCCUAAAUCCACAAGCAGAAACAUUGUUCUUGAGGAGGGGGCGGGGUGAGAGCACUUAAAGUUUGGGAAUUGGUGAUUUCACUCAUAUUCUUUGUUUAAUGUUUUUUUUUUUUAAUUGGAAAAGCUACAUCAUGCGAUAUUAAAAAAUUCACACGGUCCCUAAGGGCUUACGAGAUGACAAAUAGAUGUCGUGCCGGCAGCUCUGCGCCUGGUUCUCACCUCCUUUCAGGGGUGCUCUGUGUGAAUUCAGGCGUGUGUAUGUGGGUGCGUGUAUGUGUCACCCCCGCCCCCCGCUCGUUGUGAGUUACAGGUGGACACGCGUUGCUCUCACGUGCCCCCUCUCUUCAUGCACGGUGGAGUGCCUGAGGAUGGCGAUGCCUGGCACACACGAGGGCAUCGCCUCAUUCACGAGUGUCAGCGUGGCAUGUCAGUCAUCAGCCAUUCCAGCAAGUAAAAUACUCUUUUUUAAAAAACCGAGGUGAAGUUCCCUUACACGCACCGCAGGUAAGGAGCCCGCUGAGCGUCUCCUGGCCGCGUCUGUCUGCCCGUGGCCGCGCUGGUCUCGGUUGCUGCACCCGGGCUUUCCUGGCGUGGUGUGUGGGCUCCCAUGGCAGCGGCGGCUCUUGCUGGGGAGCGCGGGCUUGGGGUGUGUGGGCUUCUGCAGCUCGUGGGCGCCGCCGUCGGGGCUCCCGGCUUCAGAGCGCAGGCUCGGGAGCUACCGUGCACAGGCUCACGGUGUGUGGGAUCUUCCCGGGCCUGGACUUGAACCGGUGUCUCCUACACUGGCAGGCAGACUGUUUCCCGCUGAACCGCGAUUAACCACUUCACACUGCGCAGGUCAGUAGUGGCUGGCGCAGUGCUGCGCCCCGCCUAACGUGCCCUUCGUGGAAGCAGCGCAGCCACGUGAUCCAGCAGUUCCACUUGCGGACGGUUAUCCAAAGGAAACGUGUGUGCUAGCUCAAAAAGAAACGUGUGCGCCCAUGUUCAUCACAGCCUUGUUUACAAUGAACCGAGACGUGGAAAUAACCCAGGUGUCCAUCAGUGGACGAGUGGAGAAAGAAGAUGUCAGACUCACACGGAGGGGUAUUAGUCAACCAUAAAAAGAAUGAAGUGUUGCCAUUUGCAGCAAAUGGCUGGACCUUGGGGGCAUUAUGGAAAUGAAAUAAGUCUGAGGAAGACAGAUUCCACAGUCUCACUUAUUUGUGGAAUCUAAACCAAAAACGAGCAACGGAGCUCGUAGAUGGCAGAGAGUAGACCUGUGGUUUCCAGGGGUGGGGGGUGGGGGAUGGAAUGGGGGAGGGAGUCAAAAUACAAAAUAGUCCAGAUAUAAAUGAAAUACAUUUCAGGUAUUGCAUAUUUGAAAGUGGCUAGACUGGUUCCAAAUAGGAAAAGGAGUACGUCAAGGCUGUAUAUUGUCACCCUGCUUAUUUAACUUCUAUGCAGAGUACAUCAUGAGAAACGCUGGGCUGGAAGAA
ensembl:lincRNA